UACGUAGGGUGCGAGCGUUAAUCGGAAUUACUGGGCGUAAAGCGUGCGCAGGCGGUUUUGUAAGCCAGAUGUGAAAUCCCCGGGCUUAACCUGGGAAUGGCAUUUGGGACUGCAAGGCUUGAGUGCGGCAGAGGAGACUGGAAUUCCUGGUGUAGCAGUGAAAUGCGUAGAUAUCAGGAGGAACACCAGCAGCGAAGGCGGUGGUCUGGGCCGACAUUGACGCUGAGGAGCGAAAGCGUGGGGAGCGAACAGG
rnacentral:rRNA from 1 species